GACCCCUAUAUAAACAGACCCCUGACCUCAGUUUUCAAACACCAAGCCACCAAGCUUUCUCUCCUUCAACUAGAGCUUGAUUAGCUCUCCUUCAAUUAGAGCUUGAUUAGCUCUACUUCAAUUAAAAUUUUAUUAGUUCCUUGCUGCUCCAAUGGCCGAGAAGUACCACGAUGAUUGGGAAGUCGUCCCCUUCAACCUCAACAUGGAGCCUGUGGGGGACCCCGAUGCCCGUGCUCUCGUCCCGGCCAACACAAAGCGUCAGCUAGAAGCCAUGCCAUUACGCCAACGCAGCUCCGCCCAAUCUUACCAUGCUCAACCAGUUCUCACCGCACCACCACAACCCCUACUCCUCACAGGAUCAUCAUCCAAGACGAAGACCACUAUCAAGGUGCCAACCGGCACAAGGAUCCUUCCACCUAGACCCAAUGAGAGGGUCGUUGGAGUCAAGACCAACCGAAGCGGCGAGAUCAGCAGUAUUCGCUACACUAUAGAGGAGGAAAGGCCUUACUUUGAAGGGAUUAGAGCAGCCAAAGUCCGUUUCAUCCCUCCAAAGGCAGCCCCGAAGCACGCUCUCAAUGCUUUUGAGACACCUCCCAAGCGUCGCAAGACUAUAAUGGAUAUUGAUGAGGAAGUUCGCAGGCUAGAUAGAGUUAUCAUAGACCUCCAGUCCUCGAUUAAUUCCCUCACUAGACAGCUCUCUAACCACAACACCAUUAUACUAGGCCUUAGGCAGGAUCUUGCCAGUGCCAACAAGAAGAUCAAGGAAUUAGAGCGCCGCUAAGUUAUCUAGAUUAGACCUUGAGGCAAUACAUCUUAGUCAUUUAUCUUUAAAUUCGGUUUAGGUUUGCUAUUAUCAUCAGUUUACUAUUAUCAUCAGUUUGCUACUAGUCUUUUGUAAUAAAUGCCUCAAGAUCAAUAAAGAAUAUUAUUAUUAUUAUUAUUAUUAUGUCUUGUGUGUCUCUACUUUAUUUUUGUAAGAAAGCAGAAAACAAGUAUGGGGGAGAUCCCUUGACAUGCCAAAUACACCACUCCACCACUCAUGUACACACUCUGCACACUUUACUUUACACAUAUAUAUAUUUUGGAUUAUGCAGAUUAUUGUUUCCGACAUGAUAAAAUAAAAAAGAGAUUAAAAUAUUUCUAAUCAUGAUUAAUCUCAAUCUAUGAUAUUUCUUGAAAAUUUGCAAUUAUUAUAAAAUCAUUUUAAAACCCUGUGUCACUUAAGUCAAUAUGGAAUAUGUGAUGGUAGAGUAUGAGUUUCUUAUUCUUGAUAUCAUUGUUGCUUGGAGAAUUUAUUUCAAAAUAUUCAAAAUUCUAGCUACCAUCCUUAGUGUUUUAUAUGCCUGAUAAAACUGAAAAUAUUAAAUAUGAUUGUAAAAAGCUAUCGGCUCUGUAUUGAGUUUGUUCAAAAUGAGUUAGACCCUUGUUGAGAGAUUUAUCAUGCUCCUAAGAUCAAGACAUUAUUUCAGUAAGAUUCACUCUUCCGAAGUAUUAUUGCAUUAGAGGCAUGGACUAUGAAAAAAAUAGAGAUAUUUCGAGGAAAUAAAAAGGAGCAAGUGCUCGACAACCUCGUAGAAAAAAAUGGACAAGUGUCCGGCAGUAGAAUUAGGGGUACCUCGGUAUCCACUUAAAAAAAAGAAAAAAGAAAAAAAUGAUAGCCCAUGGUCCCUCUAAUAAGCAAUAUGCCAGCAAGAGAUGACAAAGUUUUUAAUUUCCAAAGUCUUUGAUCUAAGAGUAUGACAUUCCCCUCCUCGGAUCCCGUUUUGAUCAGGCAAUAAAUGCAAAGUAAGAAUGCUUGAGAAUUUUUGCAAAAUUAAAACAGCCUCAGUGAGAUAUAUAUAUAAAAGAUAAUGAGUAAUCUGAGAGAACCUAUGAGGAUCAAAAAGGUAUGCUAACUUUCUUUCAAAAAUAUACAAAAACUCCAAGUGACAGGAUUGAGAAGAAAUGAUCUUUACUCUUAAUCAUAAACUUUCCUGACUAUGGUACACAGUGGAUUUUUGACACCCUGCAAUUAUAUAAGAAUGCUUUAAAAUGUUUACCCCAGAUAUUUUUCUUAACCAUCCUUUUCUCGAGGAGGAGUAAAAGCCUAAGUAUGGGGGUAUUUGUUGACGGUUCUUAAGUAUCAAUUUUAAUUAUCAAAUAAACAAGAGAAAGGACCAAUAUGCAACCAACACCUAGAAUUAGGGUUUGAUCUGACAGAAUUCCAUGAGUUUUGUUGUUUAUCUGUUUCUGCAGGGGGUUAUCAGGAAAUAAGGAAGAAAGGCCCACAUGUCGGGAUUACAUAGAGAUAUCAACGCACCGCGUAAUUUUACAUCAUCUAGAAGACUCCAGAAGCCACGAGACCGAAGCGGAGACGAAACUGGGCCAGGCCCAGGGCGCCCGCCCUGGUAGCCUGGGCGCCCGCCCCCUGCUGGAGUGCUCUCAGGACUCUCUUCGCACGGGAUAUUCCACCGACCUAUUGGAUCAAGAAAAACAUAGUACCACCUCACCUAUCGACCCAAAAACGAAUAGAAGGGGAGGACUAUAUAAGCAAGGCCCGCCUGGCCCCUGGAGGAGACAUGACGAAAUUAUCAUAGAGACUGAGGGGUGCCCUCGAAGGAAAACCUCUUCUCUAAUUAAUAUUUCUUUUUAGGCUUAGCAACCAAUGUAAGGUAGAAAUAGAUCUUCUAGUUUCUACUAGAUUGAGAGAGAUAGAGUGGAGGUGAAGAGUGGAGGAAGCCCGGCCUGUCGGUGUCUACUCCAAGCUUGUACCUGCGGGAUCAAGUUCUCCUAACCCGAAGCUUGCUCCUAGGAAUCUUCAGUAAUUCGACUUCUAAAUUCUAGUAAGUUCUUGUUUUAUUGUUCUUAUGGUUUAUGAGUUUACUUUAAUCUCUUCGCGUAGAGUUUAGAGUAAUCAUUGGUGGCGUAAACGUGGUGUUUAGGCUGGGGUACUCAUAGAUAUUCCCUGACUAGCUGGACCGUGGUAGUAGUGAGGAACGUGACAAUUCCGAGCUACCUUUGUAGAUCACAACUCGUUAGCAGGAAGGAUAGGGUUUAUAGGUGCGGGUUGAACAUCCUUUGUGGUGUCUAGAUUCCGUUAGCCUCCCCAUUAGAACAGUAGAUCAUCCUUACCAAGGUUAGAAGGAGACUACGGUUGCAGUCUUCUCUAUUUAUCACUCACAUCGAAAGACAUUCUUUGUGCCUAAAGGUUAGUAGUAAUAGACCGGUUAGUCAGAUGCACUCUUUCUCCUAGUGGUAAAAAAAUAAAUACGAUACUCUGGAUAAUUUCCCGGGUGAAGUGCUCACCGAUAUCCGUGCGCUUGCGGAUCAAUUCCUUAUUGCGUUCCCAAAUAUCAACAGAGGUAAAGGCUGCAUCUCUAGAGCUUUUAGAUGAAUCAGACUUAGAAGACGAAGCUCCUUUCUUCAUGGAAGAAAAAGCUGAACCUUCUGAACUUGAACCCUUAGAUGAGUUUGCAGAAACGCCUAGACCUCCCAUAGAGCUUAAAACUUUACCACCCGAUCUUAUCUAUGCUUUCCUAAACAAUAAUCCAGAGUUUCCUGUGAUCAUUAGUGAUAAACUCAUUCAGGAGCAAACUCUAUGGUUGAUGACCAUUCUUGAGAAACAUCACUCAGUUUUCGGCUACUCACUCCAAGAUCUUACAGGAAUCAGUCCUAUGAUUUGUACCCAUCGUAUUCCAACAGAUCCUUCUGUUUCACCUUCUCGAGAGCCCCAACGUAGACUUAACAACGCAAUGAGAGAGGUAGUUAAAAGGAAGUUAUAAAGUUGCUGCAUGUAGGGAUUAUAUAUCCUGUGCCGCACAGCGAGUGGGUGAGCCCAGUUCAAGUUGUGCCUAAAAAGGGAGGCAUGACUGUUGUUAUGAAUGAAAAGAAUGAGCUAAUUCCGCAACGCACCGUCACAGGGUGGUGGAUGUGCAUAGACUAUAGAAAACUAAACAAAGCCAAGAGAAAGGAUCAUUUUCCUUUACCUUUCAUAGAUGAGAUGCUAGAGCGAUUAGCGAACCAUUCGUUCUUCUGUUUCUUAGAUGGAUAUUCAGGGUAUCACCAGAUCCCGAUCCAUCCCGAUGAUCAAAGCAAAACCACUUUUACAUGCCCAUACGGAACUUAUGCUUAUCGUAGAAUGUCUUUUGGGUUAUGUAAUGCACCAGCUUCUUUUCAAAGAUGCAUGAUGUCUAUAUUUUCUGAUAUGAUUGAAGAGAUUAUGGAAGUUUUUAUGGAUGAUUUCUCUGUUUAUGGAAAAACUUUUGAUAGUUGUCUUGAAAACUUAGACAAGGUUUUGCAAAGAUGUGAAGAAAAGCACUUAGUCCUUAAUUGGGAAAAAUGUCAUUUUAUGGUUAGGGAAGGAAUAGUGCUGGGACACCUAGUGUCUGAAAGAGGUAUUGAGGUAGACAGAGCAAAAAUUGAAGUAAUUGAACAACUACCUCCACCUAUGAACAUAAAAGGAAUUCAAAGCUUUCUUGGCCAUGCUGGUUUUUAUCGCAGAUUCAUAAAAGAUUUCUCAUUAAUUGCUAGACCACUUACUCUUUUGAUAGCGAAGGAUGCUCCUUUCGAAUUUGAUGAUGUAUGCCUAACAUCUUUCAAUUUAUUAAAGAAUGCACUCAUCUCUGCACCAUCAUUCAACCCCCUGAUUGGUCGUUGCCUUUUGAAAUUAUGUGUGAUGCUAGUGAUUAUGCUGUGGGGGCAGUUUUGGGACAAACUAAAAAUAAAAAGCAUCAUGCAAUUGCUUAUGCCAGUAAAACUUUGACAGGAGCUCAACUUAAUUAUGCAACCACUGAAAAAAGCUUCUGGCUGCUGUCUUUGCCAUUGAUAAAUUUAGAUCUUAGUUAGUUGGAGCUAAAAUAAUUGUUUACACUGAUCAUGCUGCACUAAAAUAUCUGCUCACUAAAAAAGAUGCUAAACCUCGCCUGAUUAGAUGGAUCUUAUUACUUCAAGAAUUUGAUUUAGAAAUAAAAGAUAAAAAGGGAGUAGAAAAUUCUGUUGCUGAUCACUUGUCUAGAAUGUAUUUAAGAAUCCACAGAAACCCCCAUUAAUGAUUUACUCCGGGACGACAUGCUCUACGAGAUUAACAGGUCUGACCCCUGGUAUGCAGAUAUGGUUAAUUUUAUGGUUUCAGGGUAUGUACCACCAGGAGGAAACAAGAAGAAGCUUAUUCAAGAAAGUCGUUCACAUAUAUGGGAUGAGCCAUACCUCUUCCGAGUAUGCUCUGAUGGCUUACUCAAGAGGUGUGUGACCACUAAGGAAGGGUGGAAGAUCAUCGACAGAUGUCAUUCAUCACCAUAUGGAAUUCAUUAUGGAGCAUUUUGUACACAUUCAAAGAUCUUUGCAGUGUGGAUUCUACUGGCCUAUAAUGUAUGAAGACACGAAGCAAUAUAUCAGAAGAUGUGGGCCAUGUCAAAGGCACGGAAACAUAAACACGAGAGAUGCUAUGCCACUCACCAACAACCUUCAGAUUGAGCUCUUUGAUGUCUGGGGAAUAGAUUACAUGGGUCCAUUUCCCCCAUCAAAGAAGUGUGAUUUCAUCUUGGUGGCAGUUGACUACGUCUCCAAGUGGGUAGAGGCACUACCUUUCAAGCACGCCGACAACAUCAGUUCAAAGAGGAUGUUUGAAGAAGUUAUAUUUCCAAGAUUUGGAGUCCCAUGAGUAGUGAUAAGUGAUGGAGGAGCACACUUCAUCGACAAACGCUUCAAGCACUAUCUAUCAAAACAUGGAAUCCGUCACAACAUCGCUACACCCUACCAUCCUCAGACAAGUGGCCAAGCAGAGACUUCUAACAAGCAAAUCAAGAAUAUUCUUCAGAAGACAGUCAAUGAAAUGGGAACGGCAUGGAAAGACAAGUUACCCGAUGCACUCUAGGCAUAUCGGACACCAUACAAGACCCCAAUUGGGAUGUCCCCAUACCAAUUGGUGUACGGGAAGACUUGCCACCUACCUGUUGAAUUAGAGUUCAAAGCACAAUGGGCCAUAAGGAGAUGGAAUAGGACCUAGAUGUCACUGGAGACCAUAGAAUAAUGCAACUAUCAGAAUUGGAAGAAUGGCGAGAGAAAGCAUAUCACAAUUCGAAGAUCUAUAAAGAAAGAGUCAAAAGGUGGCAUGACAAGAGGAUCAAGAAGAAGGAGUUCGCACCGGGAGAUAAGGUAUUACUUUUUAAUUCCAUGGUGAAGCUUUUCGGGCAUGGAAAACUCCAAAGUAAAUGGGAAGGACCAUUCAAGGUAAUCAAUUCAUCAUCCCACGGAGCUAUCACAUUUCAAAAUGACGAAGGUACAUUAUUCAAGGUAAAUGGUCAACGUCUUAAAUUAUUUUUAGAGCCCAAUAAAGAAUUAGAAGAGAUAGACAUGAUCCAUUUCUACCUUCCCAUGGAGAAUUAGAUCCCAACCUUUUUAAUCUGACGUUUUAGGGCCACGUAUAUAUUUUCCUAAUUAAGUCUACAUCUAGAAGCACACUCGAGGAAGCGGGCCCACAGAGGGGCCAGGCACAGGGCGGGCGCCCAACCCCUGCCCCCUCUCAGUCCCGAUUUCCUCCGUCGCAAUAAACACAUUUAUGGUAAACCAAAUAAUCCUACAGAUGGAAAGUUUCGCACGCACGGCGGCGGGAGUAGCCCGAACAAACCCUAGAGGCACUUUUUGACCCCUAUAUAAAUAGACCCCUGACGUCAGUUUUCAAACACCAAUCUAUUCAAGCCUUCUCUCCUUCUUCAAUUAGAGCUUGCUUAGUCCCUCGCUGCUCCAAUGGCCGAAGAGUUCCACGACGAUUGGGAAGUCAUCCCCUACGACCUCAACAAGAAGCCCAAGGAAGACCCCGACGCCUACGCUCUUGUCCCGACCAACACAGAGCGACAGCUAGAAGCCAUGCCUUUACGCUAGCGCAGUUCCGCCCAAUCCUACCAUGUUCAACCAGUUCUCACCGCACCGCCACAGCCCCUACUUCUCAAGGGACCAUCAGCCAAGAAGGAGGCCACCGUCAAGGUGCUAGCCGGCACGAGGAUCCUGCCACCCAAACCCAAUGAGAGAGUCGUUGGAGUCAAGACCAACCAGAGCGGCGAGAUCAGCAGCAUCUGCUACACUAUGGAGGAAGAGAGGCCUUACUUUGAGGGGAUUAGAGCAGCCAAAGUCCGUUUCAUCCCUCCAAAGGCAGCCCCAAAGCACGCUCUCAAUGCUCUCGAGACACCUCCUAAGCGUCGCAAGACUAUAGUAGAUAUUGAUGAGGACGUUCGUAGGCUAGACAGGGUCAUCAUAGACCUCCAGUUCUCGGUUAAUUCUAUCACUAGACAGCUCUCUAACCAGAACACCAUUAUACUAGGUCUUAGGCAUGAUCUUGCUAGUGCCAAUAAGAAUAUCAGGGAGUUAGACCGCCACUAAGUUACCUAGAUUAGAUCUUGAGGCAAUGCAUCUUAGUUAUUUAUCUUUAAAUUCAGUUUAGAUCUAUUUAGCUUCAGUUCAUUACUAGUCAUUUGUAAUAAAUGCCUCAAGAUUAAUAAAGAGUAUUAUUAUUAUUAUGUCUUGUGUGUCUCUACUUUAUUUUUAUGCAAGAAAUCAGAAAAUAAGUAUGGGGGAGAUCCCUCGACAUGCCAAACACACUUCGACUACACCACUCCACGAUUCAGGUACAUACUCUGCACACUUUACACAUACAUCUUGGAUUAUGCAGAAUAUUGUCUCCGACAUGAUAAAUUAAAAAGAUUAAAAUGUUUCUAAUCAUGAUUAAUCUCACUCUGUAAUAUUUCCUGAAAACCUGUAAAAGUCAUUUAAAAACCCUGUGUUACUUAAGUCAUUAUGGAAUGUGAGAUGGUAGAGUAUGAGUAUCUUAUUCUUGAUAUCAUUGUUACUUGGAGAAUUUAUUUCAAAAUCUUCAAAAAUUUUAGCUAUCAUCCUCAGUGUUUUAUAUGUCUGAUAAACCUAAAAAUAUUAAUUAUGAUAAUUAUAAAAGCUAUCUGCUCUGUAUUGAGUUUGUUUAAAAUGAGUUAGACCCUUGUUGAGAGAUUUAUCAUACUCCUAAGAUCAAGACAUUUAUUCAGAAAGAUUCACUCUUCCGAAGUAUUAUUGCAUUAGAGGCAUGGGCUAUGCAAAAAUAAGGAUAUUUCGAGGAAAUAAAAAGGAGCAAGUGCUCGAUAACCUCACAGAAAAAAUGGACAAGUGUCCGGUAGUAGAAUUAGGGGUACCUCGGUAUCCACCUGAAAAAAAGAAGAAAAUGAUAGCCCAUGGUCCCUCUAAUAAGCAAUAUGCCAGCAAGAGUUGACAAGUUUUUAAUUUUCAAAGUCUUUGAUCUAAGAGUACGGCAUUCUUCUCCUUGGAUCUCGUUUUGAUCAGACAAUAAAUGCAAGGUAAGAAUGCUUGAGAAUUUUUGCAAAUUAAAAUAGCCUCAGUGAGAUACAAAAGAUAAUGAGUGACCUGAGAGACCCUACGAGGAUAAAGGUAUGCUAAAUUUCUUUUCAAAAAUUUACAAAAACUCCAAGUGACAGGAUUAAGAAGAAAGGACCUCUACUCUUAACCAUAUAUUUUCCUGACUACGGUACACAGUGAAUUCUUACAACACCCUGCAGGUAUGAAGAAAAUGUUUUACAAUGUUUUGACCCCAGAUAUUUUUCUUAACCAUCCUUUUCUCGAGGACGAGUAAAAGCCUAAGUAUGGGGGUGUUUGUUGACGGUUCUUAAGUAUCAAUUUUAAUUAUCAAAUAAACAAGAGAAAGGACCAAUAUGCAAACAACACCUAGAAUUAGGGAUUGAUCUGACAGAAUUCCACGAGUUUUGUUGUUUAUCUAUUUCUGCAGGGGGUUAUCAGGAAAUAAGGAAGAAAGGCCCAC
rnacentral:lncRNA from 1 species